rnacentral:rRNA from 1 species
UACGUAGGGUGCAAGCGUUAAUCGGAAUUACUGGGCGUAAAGUGUGCGCAGGCGGCCGAGCAAGUCGAGUGUGAAAGCCCCGGGCUUAACUUGGGAAUUGCGCUCGAAACUACUUUGCUGGAGUGUGGCAGAGGAAGGUGGAAUUCCACGUGUAGCGGUGAAAUGCGUAGAGAUGUGGAGGAACACCAAUGGCGAAGGCAGCCUUCUGGGCCAACACUGACGCUCAUGCACGAAAGCGUGGGGAGCAAACAGG